rnacentral:rRNA from 1 species
AAUAGAUACCCGGGUAGUCCACGCCGUAAACGAUGAGUGCUAAGUGUUAGAGGGUUUCCGCCCUUUAGUGCUGCAGCAAACGCAUUAAGCACUCCGCCUGGGGAGUACGGUCGCAAGACUGAAACUCAAAGGAAUUGACGGGGGCCCGCACAAGCGGUGGAGCAUGUGGUUUAAUUCGAAGCAACGCGAAGAACCUUACCAGGUCUUGACAUCCCGUGACAACUCUAGAGAUAGGGCUUUCCCCUUCGGGGGACACGGUGACAGGUGGUGCAUGGUUGUCGUCAGCUCGUGUCGUGAGAUGUUGGGUUAAGUCCCGCAACGAGCGCAACCCUUGAUCUUAGUUGCCAGCAUUCAGUUGGGCACUCUAAGGUGACUGCCGGUGACAAACCGGAGGAAGGUGGGGAUGACGUCAAAUCAUCAUGCCCCUUAUGACCUGGGCUACACACGUGCUACAAUGGAUGGUACAAAGGGCAGCGAAACCGCGAGGUUAAGCCAAUCCCAUAAAACCAUUCUCAGUUCGGAUUGCAGG